rnacentral:rRNA from 1 species
UACGGAGGGUGCAAACGUUAAUCGGAAUUACUGGGCGUAAAGCGCACGUAGGCGGUCCGUUAAGUGGGGUGUGAAAUCCCUGGGCUCAACCUGGGAAUUGCGCUCCAAACUGGCGGGCUAGAGUGUGGUAGAGGGGGGUAGAAUUCCCUGUGUAGCGGUGAAAUGCGUAGAUAUAGGGAGGAAUACCUGUGGCGAAGGCGGCCCCCUGGACCAACACUGACGCUGAGGUGCGAAAGCGUGGGGAGCAAACAGG